AACCGUUGAGUGCAGAAGGGUGCUUGGUGUUCUCUUUGGUGUUGAUAAAUCACAACUGUCCUUCAAUCAAAUCGCCUCCCCCUUUAAGAAACAAUCGAUCUCCUGUUUGUCUCUGCUCCCUAUCAAAAUUCUUCUCAUCAUGCCCUUGCUCCUCCCAUUGUCUUCCUUCCUGCCCUGCUUACCCUCCAUUUGACCGCCAAUUGAAUAACGAGAUUGAUUGUGAAUUGAAUGCCAAAAUUGAUCAGCUACCGCCAAUUAAAACCGUGUAUUGAUUGUAGUCCAUUAAUUCUGGGCAGUUACAUCCAAUUGAAUGUCAGAUCAGGUUUAUCUCCAUAUUAAUGGGAAAAGUUGCUUCUGAUAAGUGUCACAAAUGGGUCUUCAAAGAACCUUCAGAAUGUGAUCAGAGCAUAUCUAACUAUCAGCAAAGUUCUUUUGAUGUUAACUCCCUAGACCAGCUUUGGAGAUUAACUUUGUAAGAGAUGGGAUGCACAAAAGAAGUUAGCUAUCAUUGGUCGUGGUGCAUACAUAUUCUUCGUUAUUAGCAGUUGCUUUCUUCUUUGGUGCUCGUUUGAAUAUGAACAAGAGGCGCCUUCUAUGAUAUCCGUUGUAUUUUACAUUUUACUAUAACCUUGUUUUAGUGCAUUUCCGUUCAUACAUUUUAUACAUUUUAGCAUGUACUGUUAAAAACUCGUAAGAAAACGAUCGAUAAACAGAACGAUGGGAAAAUGGAAACAAAUAGCCACCCUUAGACCAAUGAUUUGGGUUCUUCUG
rnacentral:lncRNA from 1 species